GGUGAGCGGAUGAGCACGAUGCGAUCUACACGGUGACCGCUGCUUCUCCCCCCCCCCCCCCCCCCGCUGAAAAGCAACAGAAUGCUGACACAGGCUACCACACGGAAGCACCCAGAAAACGUGACACGCGGUCACAGAAGCAGCCAGAUGCAAGAGGCCUCCGUGUCGUAUGACACGAUGUAUAUGAAACAUCCGGAACACGCAACUGCAUUGGGACAGACAGCAGGCUGGGGGCAGGUGGGGGAUGGGAACUUACCGUUUAACGGGUGUGGGGUUUUAUUUUGGGGAGGUGGACACGUUUGUAACCAGACUGCCGCAGUGGUUGCCCAGUGUAGUCGUGUACUUACGGGCAGUGGACUGUAUGCUUUAAAAAGGUUAAUUUGAUAUUACAGGAUUUUCACCUCAAUUAA